rnacentral:lncRNA from 1 species
UCAAGGCCAUCUCCAUCUAUUGGGAGCACAAUAUGACAUCCAUAUCUUCUUAUGGGGGACAUAGACCACAGUGUCACCUCCUCAAGGCCAAUUCCACCCAUUGGGAGCACUGUGUCACCUCCAUAUCUGCUUAUGGGGGACAUAGACCACAGUGUCACCUCCUCAAGACCAUCUCCAUCUAUUGGGUGCACAGUGUGACCCCCUGCCAACCAUCCAUGGGUGACCCAACAUCUUCUCGUUGCCGUCUCUGCUUGUGGGGUGACCCUAAUGUGUGUGUUCUGGAUGCUUUCCUCACCCUGACGUCCCCACACCAUCCUUGGGGGGCUCCCAUCCCCUCCCUAUGGGGUGGCACCAUAAAGGGGGAUGGGAAGGGGGGGGGGGAGGGGUGUCCUUUCACCCCCCUGUUGUGCUCCGGGUGUUCCCUUUUUAUCCUUUGGGAUAAAAACAACCAGAAAAAAAAGGUCUUGUUCCUGGAACAGGAGCGCGCACGCUGUACAGUUUUGGGUUGGUUUUUUUUUUGUAUAAAAAUUGCUGUAUAGUUGAGUGUAAUUAGUAAAAUUCAUUGAGGAAGGGAUGGCUGUGUGGGCUUUCUUUGUUUGGGGUGGGGGGGAGAAUAAAGCUUCAAGUCCUGGGGGUCCCCUUAAAACA